GGCAGACUCCUUGCAUCAGAAGCCCACCAGUGGAGAAGAGUUUCUGCCGUUUUUGAGAAGUGGGAAGGACCUUACUGGAGUGGCUGUGGCCGUUGCAAUGGCAGUGUUUGCAGUGGAUCCCCAGGCACCCACGCUAGGAUCUGAACCAAUGAUGUUGGGCUCACCUACAUCUCCAGAGCCAGGCCAGUCCUUACCUAGAUUUUUAAUGGGGGAUCUACCAGCUCCAGGGACUCCACAACUUCGAUCAAUUAGCGGCCCUUCAGUAGGAGCAAUGGAAAUGAGGUCACCUUUACUUGCAGGGGGCUCCCCACCACAGCCAGCUGUACCUGCUCAUAGAGAUAAAAGUGGGGCUCCACCUGCUAGAAGUAUCUAUGAUGACAUUUCCAGCCCAGGACUUGGAUCAACACCUUUGCCUUCAAGAAGACAGGCAAGUAUUUCCAUGUUGCACAGUCCCCUUGUUGGAGUUACAACUGCUGUGACUGGGCAAAGCCUGCUCAGUCCAGCAAACAAUGGUCAACUACGAAGGACGACACUAUCUCCUGCCCAACUGGAUCCCUUUUAUACUCAAGGAGAUUCUCUGACCUCAGAAGGUCACCUAGAUGACACCUGGGUGACUGUGUUUGGGUUUCCAGAAGCAUUUGCUUCUUAUGUAUUAUUAUAGUUUGCACAACAUGGGAAUAUCUUAAAGCAUGUGAUGUCUAAACUGCAAGCCCGGAAAGCCUUAAGCAAAGAUGGGAGGAUAUUUGGAGAAGCCAUCAUGACUGGUGUCAAGCCAUGUAUGGAUAAAAAUGUCAUGGAAACAGUGACAGAGGAGUCUUGUCAUCUCCAUCUCUGGCCUUUACACCACCGAUUAGGACCUUAGGCACUCCGACACAGCCUGGAAGCACUCCUAGGGUUUCUACCAUGAGGCCUCUCACCAUGGCAUGCAAGGCCUCCACUAGUGACUAUCAGGUUAUUUCUGACAGAGAAACACCAAAAAAGGAUGAGAGUCUUCUGUCCAGAGCGAUGGAGUACAUACACACUCGGUCGGUGGGACAGUGAGAGCUGGACUGAGCGUUAGCAGAGGACUGCCAGUUUCCUCAGGUUAGUUGUAUAGCCAUGCUGGCAGGGUUGGGGACCCAUCUCGGAUUCAUCUUUACAAACCUUUGUUUAAGGAAACAGCCCAUUUGUAGCUUGCACUUUAAAAGAUGGCCGUGAUACACCUGCAGAGAAGCCGUCCAGAUGGUAUUCUGUGCUCUGUGAUACAGUGCAUGCUUAGUGCCCUGUCCUUGGCGUCUGCCGCAGUAAUUAAAUGAUUGAGCUUGAAGUGAGUCUCAUUGGCUUUCAUGGGAAGAUGGAUGAAUUCCACAGAGCGACAGCUGCUUUACCAAGACACAGUGAUCACGAUUAGCAACUUGAAUUAUGGUCUUAAUUUAGAUAGUAUUUAAUAUCUUCAUAUAUGUCUUGUAGAUUGUCAUAUUUUAUGUUCUUUUUAAAAAACCAUCUACCACUAAUGUUUCCUAAUAAACUUUGUCAAUUUUUAUGUGCUUAAAAAGAAGAA
rnacentral:lncRNA from 1 species